UAAUACGGAGGGUGCAAGCGUUAUCCGGAUUCAUUGGGUUUAAAGGGUGCGCAGGCGGAAUGAUAAGUCAGUGGUGAAAUCCUACAGCUCAACUGUAGAACUGCCAUUGAUACUGUCGUUCUUGAGUAUAGUUGAAGUGGGUGGAAUGUAUCAUGUAGCGGUGAAAUGCAUAGAUAUGAUACAGAACUCCGAUAGCGAAGGCAACUCACUAAACUAUAACUGACGCUCAUGCACGAAAGCGUGGGGAGCAAACAGGAUUAGAUACCCUGGUAGUCCACGCUGUAAACGAUGAUCACUCGUUGUUGGCGAUAUACUGUCAGCGACUGAACGAAAGCAAUAAGUGAUCCACCUGGGGAGUACGAUCGCAAGGUUGAAACUCAAAUGAAUUGACGG
rnacentral:rRNA from 1 species